rnacentral:rRNA from 1 species
CCUACGGGAGGCAGCAGUAGGGAAUAUUGCUCAAUGGGGGAAACCCUGAAGCAGCAACGCCGCGUGGAGGAUGAAGGUUUUCGGAUUGUAAACUUCUUUUGUUAGAGAAGAUAAUGACGGUAUCUAACGAAUAAGCACCGGCUAACUCCGUGCCAGCAGCCGCGGUAAUACGGAGGGUGCAAGCGUUACUCGGAAUCACUGGGCGUAAAGAGCGCGUAGGCGGGAUAGCAAGUCAGAUGUGAAAUCCUAUGGCUUAACCAUAGAACUGCAUUUGAAACUGUUAUUCUAGAGUAUGGGAGAGGUAGGUGGAAUUCUUGGUGGAGGGGUAAAAUGCGUAGAGAUCAAGAGGAAUACUCGUGGCGAAGGCGACCUGCUAGAACAUAACUGACGCUGAUGCGCGAAAGCGUGGGGAGCAAACAGGAUUAGAUACCCCAGUAGUC